rnacentral:lncRNA from 1 species
CCUUGUGGUAGCACUGUUUUCCCGGGUGGUCGCUCCAUGUUUCCAUUAACAUAAUGAUCUUAUCAUGAACAUAAAUAACAUAACAGAAUAAUAGGAACAUGGAUAUAGGGAAAUAUUAACCUGAAACCACAUAAUGCAAUAGCAUAACUACCCAAGUGAAUCGGGGGUAAACAAGGUAAACAGGAUAAACAGACUAGGAUAACCUAUUGGGUCCCAUCAAAAUUUAAACCUAUGCAUGAAUAAGUGAUAAUAAAGAACAUUAUUGGGUAACAAAAGUGGAUCAAGGGCACAACAUGCCUGGCACAUGAGAUUCCAGUUACCAGGGUGAUUCUUCGGAUCCUCGAAACCUCGCGCUAGUCGUAGCAAUACAAACAAAUAGUGUAUAGACAAAAUUAACAUUACACCAAACAUAAGUAUAAACUGAAUAAUAAUAAUCUAUAUGUUGCUACGAGAUCGUGGGAACGAGAACCACUAAAAUCGAAGUUACAAUUAAGGAGUUAUGAUUUUAUAGAUAAUUUAUGUGAUUAAAAUGUUAAACUAUAUUAUAAAUUGGUUAAUAUAAAUCAUAUAAGAGGUUAUUCUAUAAAUAAUUAUCUCAACUUAAAUCUAAGUUAUAAAUUGAUCAUAGAUCAUUUUCUAUUACAUUGAUAAGCAGAUUAACAAGACUAACCAACAUAAGUUAAAUAAAAAUCUAAUUAUAAAAUAAUGAAACAUGGUAUAAUAAAUGUUGUUAUUGCAUAGUAAAUAUUCACACGAGACUAACGCAACUGGAACGGGUCAAUUCGGAUUUAAAACGAGGAAGUUAUGAAUUUCCUAAGGUUUUAUGUAUUUGAUUAGGAUUAAUUAGGAUAUAAAUUUUAAAGUAGAUUUCAUGACAAAUCAGUGGCACUAGUUGUUAAACAAUAAUAUUAUAAAAUUAUAGGAACUGGAAUGGAUCAAUUUGAACUCAAUAUGAAUUUUCUAGGGAAUAUACAAGUUGUAGUAAUUAUUUUUACAUUAAAAAUCAUUUCUAAAAUGAAUUUCACUACCUCUGGUCUGCGCGCAUAAAAACAGAGAAACCUGGGGGUCUCUACGCAAGAAACACCAGACACAGUGCCAAAGCGUGUACGGCGGGUUAAAUCUUAUGAAGCACAGGGGCUCUUUUGUGAAAACACGUGGCCGAAGGAGUAUCGGGGUUUUACGAUCGUCCGGUUAGAAAUCCAUGGUCCAGAUCAGAUCCAAGCUUAAGUGAACUGGUACGCUAUGCCUACCCUCCGAUCACAAUCCGGCAACCAAGAUUUCAUACUCUAACAGGUCAGCGACUCAUCCAAUCCUAGCCGUCCAUAGUUGAUCGCACGGCCAGGGGUGCACCAACCCUAGAUCUAAUCACCGCCACCCAAUCCGGAAUGGACGGCCUAGAGGGCGCCUUCCUCCCUAGGGCCGAGCCAUGGCGGCGCCAGAGCUCCCCCCACGGCGGAGCCACGCCAGCGCAAACCACUCUUAGAUUUUGGUGCCCGAUCGACCACACGGCCCGGCGCUAAACCAUCCUAAGGGCAUAGCGAACAAUCGGCGCGACUUCUUACUGAAGAUCGAAGCAUGGAGAUUCCUGGUCACGCGAGCGACGGUGUUGCUGUGGAGAUCAUGACGCUUGUGAGCAAUUGGGGCGGCACCAGUGGUCGAAGACGGCGAACACGUUGGCGAGGAGACGCAGAUGGGGACGACAUCGGACUUGAACUCGCCCAUGACGUUCUGCUGUCCGCCCGCGCGCGUUCUUGGCGAAGCCGGACAUGGGGGCGGAUCCACUCUCCCUCUCCUCUUAAUUCUCUCUCUCCGGCGAGGGUCUCUGCUCCCCGAGGUAUCCGCGAUAGAGGGUGAAUCCUCCCAGUCGUCGACCCCGGCGUGGACGAUGUUGUGACCGACGGCGACAGAUCACCCCGCAAACCUCUCUCCCUCACGGCGGCCAUGGCACACGACGG